GACGAACGCUGGCGGCGUGCUUAACACAUGCAAGUCGAACGGAAAGGCCCCUUUGGGGGUACUCGAGUGGCGAACGGGUGCGUAACACGUGAGUAACCUGCCCUUGACUUCGUGAUAACUUCAGGAAACUGGGGCUAAUACCGGCUAGGAAUCCUUGCUGCAUGGUGGGGGUUGGAAAGCUUCGGCGGUUUUGGAUGGACUCGCGGCUUAUUAGCUUGUUGGUGGGGUAGUGGCUUACCAAGGCUUUGACGGGUAGCCGGCCUGGUAGGGCGACCGGCCACAUUGGGACUGAGAUACGGCCCAGACUCCUACGGGAGGCAGCAGUGGGGAAUAUUGCACAAUGGGCGGAAGCCUGAUGAAGCAACGCCGCGUGCGGGAUGACGGCCUUCGGGUUGUAAACCGCUUUCAGCAGGGGCGAAGCUUGUGGUGACGGUACCUGCAGAAGAAGCACCGGCUAACUACGUG
rnacentral:rRNA from 1 species